GGGGUAUUGAAUUGCUUAUUGCACCACAUGUGUUUUUCUUUGAAACAAACUUGCUUUGGCGGUGGGCCCAGCCUGCCGCCAGAGGUCUAAACUUACAACCAAUUUUUUAUCAACUUGUCACACCAGAUUAUUACUAAUAGUCAAAACUUUCAACAACGGAUCUCUUGGUUCUCGCAUCGAUGAAGAACGCAGCGAAAUGCGAUACGUAAUAUGAAUUGCAGAUAUUCGUGAAUCAUCGAAUCUUUGAACGCACAUUGCGCCCUCUGGUAUUCCGGAGGGCAUGCCUGUUUGAGCGUCGUUUCUCCCUCAAACCGCUGGGUUUGGUGUUGAGCAAUACGACUUGGGUUUGCUUGAAAGACGGUAGUGGUAAGGCGGGAUCGCUUUGACAAUGGCUUAGGUCUAACCAAAAACAUUGCUUGCGGCGGUAACGUCCACCACGUAUAUCUUCAAACUUUGACCUCAAAUCAGGUAGGACUACCCGCUGAACUUAAGCAUAUCAAUAAGACGGAGGAA
rnacentral:rRNA from 1 species